GGUUCUGUCGGUAACGUGUGUCGACAGCUGGCUGCCUCCCUGAACGGGAAUGGAAGCUCCCUAUGUGGAAGCAGCGGCCUGACGCGGACACUGUGCAGCAGCGCGGUCAGACUUCAGCCUCCCCGGACUCUGGGGAAGCGUCCAAAGACUUCAGCCAUUUCCCUCCCCUGCCUGGCCAGGACAGUGCGCUGAGGUGGGCUGGGAAGAAGUUAGAUGAGCUGC